AUGGCACGGGACACCAUGGCACAGGACAUGAGCCAUGGCAUGGCACACCAUGGCACGGGACACGAGCCAUGGCACGGGACACCAUGGCACAGGACACGAGCCAUGGCAUGGGACACCAUGGCACAGGACAUGAGCCAUGGCACGGGACACCAUGGCACAGGACACCAUGGCACAGGACACGAGCCAUGGCACAGGACACCAUGGCACGGGACACGAGCCAUGGCACGGGACACCAUGGCACAGGACACGAGCCAUGGCAUGGCACACCAUGGCAUGGGACAUGAGCCAUGGCAUGGCACACCAUGGCACGGGACACCAUGGCACGGGACACGAGCCAUGGCACACCAUGGCACGGCACACCCUGAGGGCGCAAUGGGGACAGGACAGGGCGUGGCCAGCGCUCACCUCUGGAGCUCGCGGAUCUCCAGGCCGCACUCCGAGGUCCCCAGCACCACGAAGUCCUCGGUCAGGCACAUGGCUGUCACCUCCCGGUCCAGCGGGACGGAGGACAGGAGCUUCCCGUUCACCGAGUACAGGUGCAGCGCAAACCUGUCCUGCAAGGAGCACAGGGGGAGCGUCGUGGUGGUGGUGAUGGUGGUGGCUGGGGGGGACACGGGGCCACCUGGACGUACCUUGGAGCAGGAGCGUUGUCCCACGGCGGUUUGGGCCACCACCUGCCCCUCGGGCCCCACGGCCAGGUGGGCCAGCAUGGCAGGGGGACAACUCUCGCCGGGCGGCCGCAGGGAGCGGAUGAAGAGACCCCGGCGCACGGUGUGGGUGAUGAUGGUGCCGUCCUGGGGGAGGAGGGAGGGGACACAGGGUGACGAUGGUGGUGGCACUGCCCAUCCCACGCCCACCCCAUGGUCCCACCAGCUCACCUUGGAGCCGGACACGGCCAUGUCCAGCUCGGUGCUGAUGGCCACACACGUCACCUCGGCGUCGUGGCCGUACAGCACCUGGACAGGUUUGGGAGCCAAGCCGCUGGAAAAGCCACCCUGGUGUUGGGGACAUGGGGACAUCAGUGACCUGCUGGCAGCGCCCACGGCGAGCUCCCCCUGCUCCUCGAGCCCUUACCUGCUGUAG
rnacentral:lncRNA from 13 species